rnacentral:rRNA from 1 species
CCUACGGGAGGCUGCAGUGGGGAAUAUUGCGCAAUGGGCGAAAGCCUGACGCAGCGACGCCGCGUGAGGGAUGAAGGUCUUCGGAUCGUAAACCUCUGUCAGCAGGGAAGAACGGUCACUGUGCUAAUCAGCAGUGAAUUGACGGUACCUGCAAAGGAAGCACCGGCUAACUCCGUGCCAGCAGCCGCGGUAAUACGGAGGGUGUGAGCGUUAAUCGCAAUUACUGGGCGUAAAGCGCUCGUAGGCGGUAUGUCAAGUCAAGGGUGAAAUCCCCGCGCUCAACGUGGGAACUGCCUUUGAAACUGGCAAACUGGAGUGUGUGAGAGGAUAGUGGAAUUCCAGGUGUAGGAGUGAAAUGCGUAGAUAUCUGGAGGAACAUCAGUGGCGAAGGCGACUAUCUGGCACAUAACUGACGCUGAGGAGCGAAAGCGUGGGUAGCAAACAGGAUUAGAUACCCGAGUAGUC